rnacentral:pre_miRNA from 1 species
CGUAGGGACUUCUGUCGAAGGUGAGAUGGUGCCGAAGGCCAUGUAUAUUGGUAGCUGCGAUUACAAGCUUUAUAUAGCUAGUCAAUUCAGGCCAGCGAGCUUCAUCCCUCCUCGACUGAAGCCUCUCACGCU